UUUGGUAGUUUGAAGAACAAGAUGGAAAUAUACUUAGACUUAUAAGUGAACUAAAUUAUUAAUUUUGUUUAGCUAAAAGAGAUGCCACAUGGCUAAGAGAGACAUUUUCUCUUCUAAUCCUCUGUCACAAUCAGUUUUGAGAAGAUAUAUUCUUCGAAAAUGGAUUAACAUGAAAGAAAAAGCCUUAAAGAUUUCUACUCACUUCAACUUAAUCUUGAAUUCUCCACUUGAUACUUGU
rnacentral:lncRNA from 1 species